GAUUGAACGCUGGCGGCAGGCUUAACACAUGCAAGUCGAGCGCGAAAGUUCUUCGGAAUGAGUAGAGCGGCGGACGGGGGAGUAACUUUUAGUAAUCUACCCAGUAGAGGGGGACAACUUGGGGAAACUCAAGCUAAUACCGCAUACGCCCUACGGGGGAAAGCGGGGGACCUUCGGGCCUCGUGCUAUUGGAUGAGCCUGCGUUAGAUUAGCUAGUUGGUAGGGUAAAGGCCUACCAAGGCGACGAUCUAUAGCUGGUCUGAGAGGAUGAUCAGCCACACUGGAACUGAGACACGGUCCAGACUCCUACGGGAGGCAGCAGUGGGGAAUAUUGCACAAUGGGCGCAAGCCUGAUGCAGCCAUGCCGCGUGUGUGAAGAAGGCUAUAGGGUUGUAAAGCACUUUACGAAGGGAGGAAGGCCAGUUAGGUAAUAUCUGACUGGAUUGACGUUACCUGCAGAAUAAGCACCGGCUAACUCCGUGCCAGCAGCCGCGGUAAUUCGAAGGGUGCAAGCGUUAAUCGGAAUUACUCGGCGUAAAGCGCGCGUAGGCGGCCUGAUAAGUUUGGAUGUGAAAGCCCUGGGCUCAACCUAGGAACUGCAUUCAAAACUGUCAGGCUAGAGUAUGGUAGAGGAGAGUGGAAUUUCAGGUGUAGCGGUGAAAUGCGUAGAUAUCUGAAGGAACACCAGUGGCGAAGGCGGCUCUCUGGACCAAUACUGACGCUGAGGUGCGAAAGCGUGGGGAGCAAACAGGAUUAGAUACCCUGGUAGUCCACGCCGUAAACGAUGUCAACUAGCCGUUGGAGGGCUUGUCCCUUUAGUGGCGCAGCUAACGCGAUAAGUUGACCGCCUGGGGAGUACGGCCGCAAGGUUAAAACUCAAAUGAAUUGACGGGGGCCCGCACAAGCGGUGGAGCAUGUGGUUUAAUUCGAUGCAACGCGAAGAACCUUACCAGGUCUUGACAUCCCGAGAAUUUGCUAGAGAUAGAUUAGUGCCUUCGGGAACUCGGUGACAGGUGCUGCAUGGCUGUCGUCAGCUCGUCUCGUGAGAUGGUGGGUUAAGUCCCGUAACGAGCGCAACCCUUGUCCUUAUUUGCCAGCACGUAAUGGUGGGAACUCUAAGGAGACUGCCGGUGACAAACCUGAGGAAGGUGGGGACGACGUCAAGUCAUCAUGGCCCUUACGAGCGGGGCUACACACGUGCUACAAUGGCCAGGACAAACGGUUGCAACCCCGCGAGGGUGAGCUAAUCUGAGAAACCUGGUCGUAGUCCGGAUCGCAGUCUGCAACUCGACUGCGUGAAGUCGGAAUCGCUAGUAAUCGUGAAUCAGAACGUCACGGUGAAUACGUUCCCGGGCCUUGUACACACCGCCCGUCACACCAUGGGAGUGGAUUGCACCAGAAGUAGCUAGCUUAACCUUCGGGAGGGCGGUUACCACGGUGUGGUUCAUGACUGGGGU
rnacentral:rRNA from 1 species